rnacentral:rRNA from 1 species
AUCUACAGCCAUACCACCCAGAAUGCACCCAAUUUUGUCUGAUCUCUGGAGCUAAGCAGGGUCAGGCCCGGUUAGUACUUGGAUGGGAGACCACCUGGAAAUACUGGGUGCUGUAGGCU